AUUGAACGCUGGCGGCAGGCUUAACACAUGCAAGUCGAACGAGUGGCGGACGGGUGAGUAAUGCUUGGGAAUCUAGCCUAUGGCGGGGGAUAACUACUGGAAACUGUAGCUAAUACCGCGUACCAUAGGAUGAGCCCAUGUGGGAUUAGCUAGUUGGUGGGGUAAAGGCUCACCAAGGCGACGAUCCCUAGCUGGUCUGAGAGGAUGACCAGCCACACUGGGACUGAGACACGGCCCAGACUCCUACGGGAGGCAGCAGUGGGGAAUAUUGCACAAUGGGGGCAACCCUGAUGCAGCCAUGCCGCGUGUAUGAUGAAGGCCCUAGGGUUGUAAAGUACUUUCAGUCGGGAAGCGUUACCGACAGAAGAAGCACCGGCUAACUCCGUGCCAGCAGCCGCGGUAAUUC
rnacentral:rRNA from 1 species